GUCACUGUAAAGUGUUACAAUUUAUAUUUAAACGCAACACAUAAAUAGUGACCAAAAAGGUACGGCUAUCACAUGAGAGAAGCUAGAAAAAUGUAAAAUGUAAACAUUUUAAACAUUUUUGGGGGACCAUGAAAAUGUGGUAUAAAGAUAGAUAUGCAUAGAUAGACCAUAGAACAAAUAGGCAAACAAAUUCAAAGGAGAUGAAUUAUGAAAAAAAAGAGGCAUGGACAAUAAAUAGAGCCUUUGUUAGAGGUGACCCAGGUCGCCUUUCUCUAAAUCAGCUAUAUUAAAGGUAACCACAUAUUUCUGGGCCGGG
rnacentral:lncRNA from 1 species